rnacentral:snRNA from 1 species
GGAUGUGAGUGCGAUCUGGUUGAUUUUGUGCCAGGGUUGAUUCGGCUGAUCAGGCUGGCUAGGCAGGUGUCCCCUUCCCCCCUCACUGCUCCAUGUGCUUCCCUCCAGAAGUUUUGUGUUCGGUCGAAGAGGACGGUCUUCCCUGAAUAGAGAUAGAAGUCUUUGAUCGAGGGCAUAUGAGUAGCUAAGCUCCCCUGCUAGAACCUCCAAACAAGCUCUCAAGAAAUGCUAAACCUCCGAGCCCCCGGCUCCCCACCUGCAGGGGGGUUGUCUCUUCACAAGCGGUGAAGCAGGUCUGCAGGUGUCUGUCUUC